rnacentral:lncRNA from 1 species
GUGCUGCACCUGCACCUGGGGUGGUGUCUGUUCAGCUCUGGGUCUCUGGCCGAGGCACAUGGCUGUGUCUGUGAAAGGAAGGGCAGAGGUGACCCCCCAGGGCCAAGGAUGAUAGGAAGGGCCUGGGCUCUGGUUUGGGCCAAGCUGCAGACACACCGGGCUGCUUCCUCUUUCCUAGGGCUCAGACCUUCUCUGCUGUUUGUGAAACCUGCUCCUGUGGAUGUCCUGCCAUACCUCAGAAGAGCUCCUGUGGGUACCCCGAUCUGGGGGAGCCAGGAAACAAGUCUGUUAAGAGCCCCAGAAAGUGGAAAUGGAGAAUCACAAGAUUCACAAGAUAAGAAUCACCUUUGCACAGGACAAGGUGAAAUCACAGUGACUCCUCAGACCCAAAGCAGGCUGACAAGGAGGUAAAGCGGCUUUGCUUUUUUGUGGGACCCAAGUAUGCUCAGUGAGGUGAGCUGAUUAUUUUCUGCUGAUUAGAGUGGAAAAAGAAAUGGCAUUUAUUUGUGGAAACAAACUUGCAGAAGCAGAGGUGAGCGGGAUUCUUCAGUGAGUGGGUCAUUGAUGCUGGCCUCAAGGUUUUCAGCCCGUCCUCAGUGACUCCCAGCUACAGGCAGGACCCAGCAGCAGAAGAACCCUGGGAACAGACUGUGUCCCCAGACCCUGACUGCCUCCAGGGAUGUUCUUUCUAAUGCACCCAGAACACAAAUCAUAUGGCUUCACCGUGACAGUUAUAAAUUUCAUCCACCAUGGAGAGUUGGAGGCAGGCGAUUUGUUGGGUCCAAGUCAAAGGUUACAAAAGAAUUCUUCAGAUUUGGGUGAUUUCCACACCUAUUAGGUAAGUUUAAACAUAUCCUUUUGCUUCUAAGGAAAACAGCUUGUAAAAUACUUGGGAGCUCUGGGGACAUCAAACAGCUCUUCGAGGAG